rnacentral:rRNA from 1 species
GAUGAACGCUGGCGGCGUGCCUAAUACAUGCAAGUCGAGCGAACAGACGAGGAGCUUGCUCCUCUGACGUUAGCGGCGGACGGGUGAGUAACACGUGGAUAACCUACCUAUAAGACUGGGAUAACUUCGGGAAACCGGAGCUAAUACCGGAUAAUAUAUUGAACCGCAUGGUUCAAUAGUGAAAGACGGUUUUGCUGUCACUUAUAGAUGGAUCCGCGCCGCAUUAGCUAGUUGGUAAGGUAACGGCUUACCAAGGCAACGAUGCGUAGCCGACCUGAGAGGGUGAUCGGCCACACAGGAACUGAGACACGGUCCAGACUCCUACGGGAGACAGCAGUAGGGAAUCUUCCGCAAUGGGCGAAAGCCUGACGGAGCAACGCCGCGUGAGUGAUGAAGGUCUUCGGAUCGUAAAACUCUGUUAUUAGGGAAGAACAAAUGUGUAAGUAACUAUGCACGACUUGACGGUACCUAAUCAGAAAGCCACGGCUAACUACGUG